AUACCUUUCUCGGCCUUUUGGCUAAGAUCAAGUGUAGUAUCUGUUCUUAUCAGUUUAAUAUCUGAUAUGUGGGUCAAUGGCCCACACAAUAUUAAAUUACUUUUUUAAAAGGGGAGAGACCAUAACAGUAGCUUGCUAUUGGGUUUCUUAUGUGUUGCCUCAGCGUUGCACUAAAGCUUGGGCCUGGCACACCCUCC
rfam:Lupinus angustifolius cultivar Tanjil chromosome LG01, whole genome shotgun sequence.